GGGGCUAUAGCUCAGCUGGGAGAGCGUCUGGCUGGCAGCCAGAAGGUCGCCGGUUCGAGCCCGGCUAGCUCCA
rnacentral:tRNA from 2 species